rnacentral:SRP_RNA from 2 species
GGGCCGGGCAACUAUCGCAGCCGUCGCCAACCUGGUCAGGGCCGGAAGGCAGCAGCCACAACGAUUUUCGCUGCGGGUCGUCCCGGCUCUCA